AAUUUUGGACAAUGGGGGAAACCCUGAUCCAGCCAUCCCGCGUGUAUGAAGAAGGCCUUCGGGUUGUAAAGUACUUUUGGCCGAGAAGAAAAGGUAUCCCCUAAUACGGGAUACUGCUGACGGUAUCUGUAUAAUAACCACCGGCUAACUACGUGCAAGCUGCCGCGGUCAUACGUAGUGUGCAAGCGUUAAGCGGAAUUCCUGGGCGUAAAGCGUGUGUAGGCGGUUCGGAAAGAAAGAUGUGAAAGCCCAGGGCUCAACCUUGGAACUGCAUUUUUAACUGCCGAGCUAGAGUAUGUCAGAGGGGGGUAGAAUUCCACGUGUAGCAGUGAAAUGCGUAGAUAUGUGGAGGAAUACCGAUGGCGAAGGCAGCCCCCUGGGAUAAUACUGACGCUCAGACACGAAAGCGUGGGGAGCAAACAG
rnacentral:rRNA from 1 species